UACGUAGGUGUCGAGCGUUGUCCGGAUUUAUUGGGCGUAAAGAGCCCGCAGGCGGCUUGGCAAGUUUGAGGUGAAAUCUCCCGGCUUAACUGGGAGGGGGCCUCGAAAACUGCCAGGCUUGAGGCAUGGAGAGGGAUGCGGAAUUCCCGGUGUAGUGGUGAAAUGCGUAGAGAUCCGGAGGAACACCGACGGCGCAGGCAGCGUCCUGGCCGCUUGCUGACACUGAGGCACGAAAGCUGGGGGAGCAAACAGG
rnacentral:rRNA from 1 species